rnacentral:rRNA from 1 species
UACGUAGGUAGCAAGCGUUGUUCGGAAUUAUUGGGCGUAAAGGGCGCGUAGGCGGUUUGUUAAGUCAGUUGUGAAAGCCCGGGGCUCAACCCCGGAGAGUCGACUGAUACUGGCAGACUAGAGUACGGAAGAGGUAGCUGGAAUUCCCGGUGUAGCGGUGAAAUGCGUAGAUAUCGGUAGGAACACCUGAGGCGAAGGCGGGCUACUGGGCCGAUACUGACGCUUAGGCGCGAAAGCCAGGGGAGCAAACGGG